rnacentral:lncRNA from 1 species
GCCAUCUUUCAGGCUGCUUACUGGAAAGCCAUUCGGGGCUGGGGUGUGGCUCGGGUAAAGGGUUCGCCAAGUGCACACAGGGCCUGGCCUCAGUCCUCAGUCCUGAAAACAGAGAGCAAGGAAAGAGCCCUUUGGCAAGCCACCUCCUUGCCCUUUGGACUCUUUCUCUUCCUCUUCCUCUUUCAGAUUCUGUCCAAUGAGGAGAAGAGGACAAACUAUGACCACUACGGUGAUGCGGGUGAGAACCAAGGCUACCAGCAGCAGCGCGAGUACCGCUUCCGCCAUUUCCACGAGAACUUCUAUUUUGAUGAAUCCUUUUUUCACUUCCCUUUCAAUUCCGAGCGGCGGGACUCAAUCGAUGAGAAGUACUUGUUGCACUUUUCACACUACGUGAAUGAAGUGGUUCCCGACAGC